rnacentral:rRNA from 2 species
GCCGUGGGGCGUGCUAUACGAUGCAAGUCGAGCGGACAGAUGGGAGCUUGCUCAACCUGAUGUUAGCGGCGGACGGGUGAGUAACACGUGGGUAACCUGCCUGUAAGACUGGGAUAACUCCGGGAAACCGGGGCUAUAUACCCGGGAUGUUCUUGUUUGAAACCCCGCAGGGUUCCCAAAACAUAAAAGGGGUGGCUUCGGCUACCACAAAUUUACAGAUGGAGCCCCGCGGCGGCCCAUUAGCUAUUGUUGGUGAGGUAAAUGGCUCCACACAGAGGCAACGAGUUGCGUAGCCGCACCUUGAAGAGGGUGAUCGGCCACACUGGGGGACUGAGACCACGGCCCCAGACUUCCUACGGGAGGGCAGCCAGUAGGGAAUCUUUCCGCAAAUGGACAGAAAGUCCUGACGGAGCCAACGCCCGCGUGAGUGAUGAAAGGUUUUCGGAUCGUAAAGCUCUGUUGUUAGGGAAGAACAAGUACCGUUCGAAUAGGGCGGUACCUUGACGGUACCUAACCAAAAAGCCACGGCUAACUACGUGCCCAGCAGCCGCGGUAAUACGUAGGUGGCAAGCGUUGUCCGGAAUUAUUGGGCGUAAAGGGCUCGCAGGGCGGUUCCUUAAGUCUGAUGUGAAAGCCCCCGGCUCAACCGGGGAGGGUCAUUGGAAACUGGGGAACUUGAGUGCAGAAGAGGAGAGUGGAAUUCCACGUGUAGCGGUGAAAUGCGUAGAGAUGUGGAGGAACACCAGUGGCGAAGGCGACUCUCUGGUCUGUAACUGACGCUGAGGAGCGAAAGCGUGGGGAGCGAACAGGAUUAGAUACCCUGGUAGUCCACGCCGUAAACGAUGAGUGCUAAGUGUUAGGGGGUUUCCGCCCCUUAGUGCUGCAGCUAACGCAUUAAGCACUCCGCCUGGGGAGUACGGUCGCAAGACUGAAACUCAAAGGAAUUGACGGGGGCCCGCACAAGCGGUGGAGCAUGUGGUUUAAUUCGAAGCAACGCGAAGAACCUUACCAGGUCUUGACAUCCUCUGACAAUCCUAGAAGAUAGGACGUCCCCUUCGGGGGCAGAGUGACAGGUGGUGCAUGGUUGUCGUCAGCUCGUGUCGUGGAGAUGUUGGGGUUAAGUCCCGCAACGAGCCGCAACCCUUGAUCUUAGUUGCCAGCAUUCAGUUGGGCACUCUAAGGUGACUGCCGGUGACAAACCGGAGGAAAGGUGGGGAUGACGUCAAAUCAUCAUGCCCCUUAUGACCUGGGCGUACACACGUGCUACAAUGGACAGAACAAAGGGCAGCGGAAACCGCGAGGGUUAAGCCAAUCCCACAAAUCUGUUCUCAGUUCUGGAUACGCAGUCUGCAACUCGACUGCUGUGAAGCUGGAAAUCGCUAGUAAUCGCGGAUCAGCAUAGCCGCCGGUGAAUACGUUCCCGGGCCUUGUACACACCCCGCCCGUCACACCA